GAUGAACGCUGGCGGCGUGCCUAAUACAUGCAAGUCGAGCGAAUGGAUUAAGAGCUUGCUCUUAUGAAGUUAGCGGCGGACGGGUGAGUAACACGUGGGUAACCUGCCCAUAAGACUGGGAUAACUACGGGAAACCGGGGCUAAUACCGGAUAACAUUUUGAACCGCAUGGUUCGAAAUUGAAAGGCCGCUUCGGCUGUCACUUAUGGAUGGACCCGCGUCGCAUUAGCUAGUUGGUGAGGUAACGGCUCAACAAGGCAACGAUGCGUAGCCGACCUGAGAGGGUGAUCGGCCACACUGGGACUGAGACACGGCCCAGACUCCUACGGGAGGCAGCAGUAGGGAAUCUUCCGCAAUGGACGAAAGUCUGACGGAGCAACGCCGCGUGAGUGAUGAAGGCUUUCGGGUCGUAAAACUCUGUUGUUAGGGAAGAACAAGUGCUAGUUGAAUAAGCUGGCACCUUGACGGUACCUAACCAGAAAGCCACGGCUAACUACGUGCCAGCCGCCGCGGUAA
rnacentral:rRNA from 1 species